rnacentral:sRNA from 1 species
AUGAAGAGGAUUAGCCAAAGCCAAAGCCAAAGCCAAUCCCUGAAAACCCUACUUACCAACGGUCUCUACCCACAAGCCCUCAAAGCUUCUCUUCCAAACCCCAAGCUCACUGACCAAACCUACGCUCUCUUCAUCAAGUCCGGUCACUCCUUACACCCUUACCUCUCCACCACUCUCAUUUCCCUCUUCUCUAAACUCGGACAUUUCUCACGCGCUUCCAAGUACCUCUUCGAAACCCAUAACCCCGAUACAGUCUCAUUCAACGCUCUCAUUUCUGGGUUCGCCAGGUUUCGCCAACCCAGACCCGUUUUCGAGCUCUUUAACAAUUUAAGACAUCUGGGUCUGGAACCUGAUGUGUUUACGUUGAGCUCUUUGGUUAAAGCGUGUGAAAGUUUGCAGGAAAACGAGGCUGCCCAUGGAGUUUGUUUGAGAAUGGGGUUUGGCUCAGGAGCUUAUUUGGUGAGUGGGUUUAUAGAGAACUAUGCGAAAGCUGGGGAUGUUGAAAAGGCUGAGAAGUGUUUUGGGGAAUGUUUGGUAUUGGACAAUGUGGUUUGGACUGCUAUGGUUUGUGGGUAUGUGUGGAAUGGGGAGUUUGAGAAGGGUAAGGUGGUUUUUGUGGAAAUGAGAGGUUUGAGUUUGGAGCUGAAUGAGUUUAGCUUGACUGGGGUGCUUGGUGCACUGUUUGAUGUGAGAGAGGGGGAACAGGUUCAUGGGAUUAGUGUUAAGAUGGGUUUGUUGUGUGGCAGUUCUAUACAUUUGAAUAAUGCUAUUAUGAACAUGUACGGUAAGUGUGGGAAUAAGGUGGCUGCAGUUAAGAUGUUUGAUGAAAUUGCUGAACCAGAUGUUGUGUCUUGGACUGAAAGGAUUGGAGCUGCUUGUGAUGGUUUGGAAGCUUUGGAGUUGUUUAAAGUUUUGCAUUCUGGGAGUUUGGAGAUGAAUGAGUAUACAAUGAUCAAUGUUUUGUCUGCCAUUGCAGGCCCAAGGCUGUUAACUUCCAGUAGGCAAGUCCAAGCACUUUGUCAAAAGGUGGGGUUUUUGCAAGUGAUUUGUGUUAGUAAUGCAUUGAUAUCCAUGUACGGGAAGUGUGGUCGAAUGGAUGAUGCUAGACGUGUUUUUGAUGAUAUGCUUCAUCGAGAUUCUGUUUCUUGGAAUUCUCUGAUUGCUGGGUAUUCUGAGAAUAGAUUUAGUAGUCAGGCUCUUGAAGUGUUUUCUCAAAUGCGUGAUCUUUCACUACAGCCAAAUGAAUAUACUCUGGCUAGCGUUCUUGAAGUUGUUUCUAACUCGAAUUCUGUAAUUCAGGCAAUGCAAAUUCAUUUGCAUAUGAUUAAAUGUGGCUUUAUGUUCAAUGAUUCUAUGGUGUCUUGCUUGAUAAAAACAUAUGGGAAAUGCCAUGGUAUAGAUGAAGCAAAAGAGAUAUUCUCUGAGAUUGAUAAGAUCAAUGUGGUACAUUGCAAUGCAAUGGCUACCGCUUUUGUUUAUGCUGGUUGUCAUGCUGAUGCUUUAAAUCUGUUCUACACCUCAAGAAGCUCGUACCUUGAAGUGGACAGUACAAUAUGUAGUAUUGUCCUCAAAGCUUGUGGUGCAAUGACAGAUUUGGUACAAGGAAGAGUAGUUCACUCACUGUGUCUUAAAUUUGGAUUUGAUCAGGAUAUAUUUGUGGAAAGCACUGUUAUUGACAUGUACUGUAAGUGUGGAAGCAUUGGUGAUGCACAGAAGGCUUUUAGGAAUACAUCUAAAGACAAUUUGGCUGCUUGGAAUGCCAUGAUAAUGGGAUAUGCUCAACAUGGUUGUUUUCACGAAGUUUCUGAGGUUUUUGAGAAAAUGUGUAAAUCUGGAAUAGAACCAGAUGAGAUAACUUUUCUUGGAGUUCUUACUUCAUGCUGUCAUGCAGGGCUGGUGAGAGAAGCAAAUGAUUACUUAAACUCUAUGUUUGAACUUCAUGGAGUUAUCCCACAUUUAGAACACUAUGCCUGUAUGGUUGACCUGCUUGGUCGAGUUGGGCUCCUAGAAGAUGCAAAGAGGACAAUUGAUCAAAUGCCUAUUCACCCUGAUGCUCAUAUAUGGCAGAUUCUUCUAUCAGCCUGCAACAUCCAUGGAAAUGUCAUUCUAGGGAAUGUUGCUGCCAGAAAACUUCUUGAGCUGCAACCUGAAAAUGAAUCUGCUUAUCUUCUUCUAUCAAAUCUCUAUGCUUCUGCUGGUAUGUGGAGUGAUGUUGGCAAACUGAGGAAGCAAAUGAAGGAAAAAGUAGUUCACAAAGAACCUGGUUCUAGUUGGAUUCAAGUUGGAGGAUCCAUACAUUACUUUUUUGCUGGUGACAUGUCACAUCCUGAGAGUAAAGAAAUAUAUAUGGAGCUAAUAAAGUUGUAUGAUCAGAUGCUAGAGUCACCAAAAUUGGAUCAAAACGAUGCUUUCCUGAUGAAAAAUAUGAACUAAGAAGCAGAGAAAUUUUUUCUAAUUUUUUGCGGCAAUGAACUCUGCAGGGUGUUUGUGUUUCCAGAACUCAUCAAGUGUCAUUACAUGUCGUCUAAAAUCAGUUUGGCAUAUGAAUUCCAUUCAACAUAUGCAUUACAGAUGACUUCAGAAAAUUUGUUUUACUAGUGGUCAGAGGUGCAAGUCUGAGAAGGCCGUAAACUAUGGCUUUUGCAGCUGUUUGUUCCAAGUUAACUAACAUGACUCUGAGAGAGAAUUCCCCAUAAAUUGCCAUUAGCCAAAAUUAUGACUGCACAGGUGUUCAUUGCUUGAUAAAAACUCUGUUGUUAACCUACAGUGGCAGUAUUUCUAGUCACAACUGAAAGCAAUGAUUGGAUUCUACUUUCCAUCAUGGAUACUGUUAACAAGUGUGGCUUUAUUUUGACUGAAAUCUACAACAUUAGAAGGAAAAAAAGUGAGAUUUUACAUGUAAAUCAGCAUCACUGGUGCUUUUUUGGCUGCUCAAGGUGAAAUUUUACAUCAGAAUGUGGUCAUAACAAAGUUGUAGAAGUUUGCUGCUACACUGUACUGUCCCCCAUGGAGAGUGUCUGCUUCUGUCCUUGACUUCAUCUGAUCUUAUUUUCAGCUGUGGCAUUUUGCUCCUGAUAUUUUUGCCAAGGAUAGAUGAAACUUUGAUCAAAAAAGGAAAAAUGCUUGACUGAUGAGUUGGGAGUCCAAGUGAAGGUAAGCCAGUAUAUAGUGUUAGAAUAAUGAUUGAUUAAAAUUCAAGAAUCUCCUAUCAGAUUAAGCUUUUGGGAUAACUAGUAGUUUACCAUAUAACUUUAUUAGAUUCAUCAUCUUUUGAAAUUGUUUAUGGUUCUUGUGGUAGAAAGUGACCAGUGGGUGAAUGAGGAAUCCAUGAUGGAUGAGGAUAUGGCAGAAGAUAUAUAA